GAGGAAAAGAAACUAACUAGGAUUCCCUUAGUAACGGCGAGUGAACCGGGAUGAGCUCAAAUUUAAAAUCUGGCGUCUUUCAGGCGUCCGAGUUGUAAUCUAUAGAGGCGUUUUCCGCGCCGGACCGCGUCCAAGUCUCUUGGAAUAGAGUAUCAAAGAGGGUGACAAUCCCGUACUUGACGCGACAACCGGUGCUCUGUGAUACGUUCUCAAUGAGUCGAGUUGUUUGGGAAUGCAGCUCUAAAUGGGUGGUAAAUUCCAUCUAAGGCUAAAUAUUGGCGAGAGACCGAUAGCGAACAAGUACCGUGAGGGAAAGAUGAAAAGCACUUUGGAAAGAGAGUUAAACAGCACGUGAAAUUGUUAAAAGGGAAACGAUUGAAGUCAGUCGUGUGAAAGGUAUUCAGCCGUCUCUGGCGGUGUAUUUGCCUUUCACGGGUCAACAUCAGUUUGAUCCGGUAGAAAAAGGCGGGAGGAAGGUGGCACCCUCGGGUGUGUUAUAGCCUCCUGUCAUAUGUGCCGGACCAGACUGAGGAACGCAGCUUGCCGCAAGGCCGGGGUUCGCCCACGUACAAGCUUAGGAUGUUGACAUAAUGGCUUUAAACGACCCG
rnacentral:rRNA from 1 species